CUCUGAGAAGCAAAUGCACAUUCAAAUAUCUGGUAUUAGAGAUUCUUUAUAAACGUGUAAUAUGCCUAAGAGAAUAGCUACGGUUUCAGAGCAAGCGAUCAGCUCAGCAUGACAAGCUAAAAUUGGGCGAUGUAGAGUUUAUCUUCUACUUACGGAAGAAAGAGAGGGAAAAGGGUUGUUCAUUGAACAAAUUUCAGCAUGUGAAAGGGCCUUCAUUUCUUUGGAAAGGAGUGUGAAGAACCAAAUGCUCUUCUCAAGGAAGCUUUCUUUGGGAGGAAGGAAGCUUAGAAGGCAACUAUCAUUAUGAUACUCCAUGAAAGAGGAAGAAGACCAUUCUAGAUUGGUGUUACACAAAGCAAGAAGAUUUGUAGAGACAAAAAAGGCAGUUGUGACACAAAAAACAUUCCAAUUGUUUAACGCAAUGUCAGCUGCAUUCAAGACAUGAAGCCUAUAAAUAGGAGAAGAAGCUGGAAGAAAAAGUUGACAACCAAGCGACAAACUUUAUGAGCUCAACUUCUCUCAAGCAAUUCUUGAUCAAAUCCUUCUGUUUCAUUCUAAGAGAGUGUGCUUUUCAUUUCAAAUCUUGUAACUCUCUACCAAGAGAAAUUUCAAUUCCUAUUGUAAUAUCCAAAUUUUUUCUCUUAAGAAAUCCUUUCGCAUUAUUUGUGAAAACUUGUAAAGGUUAAGCCUAAACUUUAAAAGGCAUUUGGUUGUGGUUGAGCCAAGUGUUAAAAGCCAACUUGUAUUGGUUAUAGUUAAGCCUGUUUAAAAGCUACAAAGUAAAGGUAAAAGAUUUGUUGUUUGCCAAAAUCGUUGGUGAGAAACCGAGGUAGUGGAGUAGGCUUUGCAAGUUGAACCACUUUAAAUAUGUUGUGCUGCA